rnacentral:lncRNA from 12 species
GUUUAGGAUACCACAAGUUAUGGAGAUUCCCAAAGAAAUUUUGCUUUCACUUCUUAAACAUCACAGGCUGAAAGCAUGGAAGAGGUGAUGAAAAUAAUGAGACAAACAAAGCAGAGUGAACAUUUGCAUUUUCAUCUUGAAGUGCAUCUCAAGACCCUGAAAAAUGUGUCUUCUGGUUUGUGCAGACCAGGCCUGAGUGUGUUGUUGCCCUGGCCAAUGUGAGGGAGUGCAGGUGUGAGUGUUUCUCUUCUCCUUGUUCUCAUGGCUUGGAAAGGCACACAAGUUCAUAAAACACUCAUCCAUUUUUUUCCCAGCCAACUUAUUGCAUGAGACAGGCAUGUAUUUUCCCUUGUGGAUCUUCCAACAGACAAAAACUAGAGACUGAAAAAUAAUAUCUGACAAUUUCAGCAGUGUUCUGCUAGGAAGAAAGAAAUUCAGUAAGAAAUCCUGCAGAAAUUAUAAGGUUACCAGUAAAAUGCUUUCUCGCUUACAGGGAUGUACUUUUUUUCUUUUCCUUUCUUAUUUCAGAAAAAGGAGAUUGCUGUUCAGAAUUCCUCUGCCUCCAAUGUAGAUUAUUUUCAGAAUGCAGCACUCCAUAUGAGAGAGACACAUAUGAGUGCACACGCAUACCCUAAAGCAGAAUUGCAACAUUUACAUUUGUUUCCCAUCUUAAGCUCUUGCUGGGGACUAAAAAUCAAUGAGAGUCUGCAUUGCACCCCAGAAGUGUCUGCUUUUCACUGAUCUCAGAUCCCUGGUGUACUCAGGAGGCAAGCUCCUUCAACAGGAUCCUCCUUUAUGAGACUUAGGGAUUCUCAGAUUAAAUCCACUGCUUCUAUUUCCAUCCAUCUUCUCUGGGCAGGUGAUCAACCCUUAGCAGGUACUGACAGCUGGUUGUUUUGUGUGCUACCUCAAGGGC